AUGAAACUGAUGAGUCCCAAAUAAGACGAAACGCGAUUCUUGAAU
rnacentral:hammerhead_ribozyme from 1 species